GAAAUUUAUAAUACUAAACUUCUAAUUUAGCUAAUAGUGAUUUUUCAUUAAAAUUUCU
rnacentral:tRNA from 1 species